rnacentral:rRNA from 1 species
UUCUGAGAGCAUCUGGAAGAACCAUUCCCGGGUCUUGACUUCCUCCUACAAUCCUAGAGAUAGGACGUCCCCCUCGGGGGCAGAGUGACAGGUGGUGCAUGGUUGUCGUCAGCUCGUGUCGUGAGAUGUUGGGUUAAGUCCCGCAACGCGCGCAACCCUUGAUCUUAGUUGCCAGCAUUCAGUUGGGCACUCUAAGGUGACUGCCGGUGACAAACCGGAGGAAGGUGGGGAUGACGUCAAAUCAUCAUGCCCCUUAUGACCUGGGCUACACACGUGCUACAAUGGACAGAACAAAGGGCAGCGAAACCGCGAGGUUAAGCCAAUCCCACAAAUCUGUUCUCAGUUCGGAUCGCAGUCUGCAACUCGACUGCGUGAAGCUGGAAUCGCUAGUAAUCGCGGAUCAGCAUGCCGCGGUGAAUACGUUCCCGGGCCUUGUACACACCGCCCGUCACACCACGAGAGUUUGUAACACCCGAAGUCGGUGAGGUAACCUUUUAGGAGCCAGCCGCCGAAGGUGGACAGAUGAUUGGGGUGAAGUUGCGUAUAAACGUAGCUGCC